GUUGAGUGGUUUGUAGUUGUCGCCCAUCUUUACCGCCUCACGAAACUUAUUCAUCAAAUGUCUCCGUUUCCCGCGAACACGGGACACACUAAGUUCACCACGGUAGAUGAUGGGUGACGUAGAUGAUGGGUGACGGGCCCUUUUUUAACUUCUGUAUGAGCGCCGGCACCGGUACGUCCCCGCCUUUGUAUUUCUUCUUCCUUCGGAGCAUCCCAUCGGCAUCAAUUAUUUGGCACUCGUCGUUGAAGUGCCAGUAGUUGUACUGGGGCCUUGGCCCCCGCUUCUUCUUGCUUAUUGAAUUUGAGUCGACGGAGACAAACGAUUUGCCACUAUUGGAGUCCAUGGCGCCGAUGUCAGCAGCUGACUCCUCAUCGCCGGAGGAGGAGAUAACAACAACGUCGUCGGCCUUCUUUAAAAAAAAGAAACCAAAUCAAACAAUUCUAAUUAAUUCUCAUGAUUUCUCAAACAUACGUGUAACCAACAUAUGUAGUUUUUUUUUGAAACAAGUAACCAACAUAUGUAGUUAUAUGAAAAGAAAAAACUAAUACUUCGCAUCUGUGCCCGUCGUGGUCUAAGAAUGCAAGGCCGUUGGAUUUGGUGGAGUAAUUGUCGACGUCAACAGCAGCAUCUUGAGAGGAGGUAUUGUCCACCUUUUUGUAAAAAAGAAAGAGAAACCGAGUCAAAUAAAAUUCUUACUGUGCAAUGUGUAUUCUCAGUGCAUUGGUGCAUAUAUAUAUAUAUAUUUUUUCUAUCUAUCUAUGAUCUGUAUAUAUACCUAUACCUACCUAUACUAAUUAGAGACUAUUUUCACGUUAAUUAAAAAAUACGAGCCAUUGAUUUUGUAGGAUCAAAUUAUUACGGUGUAGAUAAUCCUCUGUUGUAAUUUUGCACCGCUGUGAAUCCAACGCGUUGCUAUCAAGAGUCCUAUGCUCGCACGUACUCCUGAAGCAGCACACAAAGCGUAUAUGGUGUGGCCCCACUAUGUUCCCUAACAGAAAAAUCAAUCAACAAAUCUAAAGCCGUAACCUUCCAAGAUGCAAUCUCCACUCCCGGCUGUCUCUGCAGCAAGGUUGCUCCGACUCCACCAAUCAACCCCACGCCCCUACCCUCUUCCCAACCCCGCACAUAUACUUGACUUUUUAUGAUGUGAGGUUUUCUUUGCAGAAAUUUGGUACAAAUUGUCAUCAGCAUAUAUUAUUCUCUGGCUAAAGUUUCUUUUAAGGAGAUCAUUUGGUUCUUUAGCACUUUGUAGUUACUAAGUGCUUUUCCUAUCCUUUAUAUACUUCACACCGAAGCUCAUUGAACACUUCUAUUUCCAAAAAAAAAGGGGUUAAUUUCUGCCAUCUAGCUUCCCGAUACAGAUAAUUGGUUAGUUCACAUACAAAGAAAAAUAAAUGUAUAACUUUUUCAAUAGCGAUUGGACAUAUUAAUGAAUAUGUAAUUUCUACACUCUUCUCAGAUGACAAGGUUCUUAUUUAUUCCAGAUGAACGUACAAUCAUUGACAACCAAAUGUAAAGCUAUAUACAACACUUUAAUCUGCCUUUUAUUGAGAUUUUCUCUUACACAUGCCACAGUUCCCCCCAUCAUCAUAUCUGAUUCGGACUCCAUCGCUGCUACCUCAUCAAUCUCUCUCCCAGGUGGAGGCGCGUAUUAGGCAUUUAGCCAUGGGUUGCCCAUAGCUUGGACAAAUCAGUGGCUGGAUAUCUAUGUUGCCUAUAUACAUGUGCUUACUUUAAAAGACACACAUCAUCAGCACAAGGUCACUCUGUUUUUUACUUUUUCUUUAACCAGAAAUAUGGACUUAACACACAUAUAUUUUCAUUCUCAUGUAAUGGGAUAUAUCUUGGAAGGAAAAAAAAUCAUGUUGUAUCAUGUUAUAUCUUUGAGAUAGUGUCAUAAAAGAGGGUAUCCUCUAAUUAUAUAACCCACGCCUUUCUCUACAUGGAUGGGAUGACUAUGAAGAUAUGACCUGUGUACACUAUAAACGCUAUCAAUUUUAUGUAGAUUUAUUUCAGAUUUCAUUUUUGGAUGAUAAACAUUUAAUGCGAAAAAAAUUACAUCAAAUAAUCAAAAAUCUUGGUUGUGGAAUCAUUUGUAGUUUAGGCCAUCUUUCAAAGCGAGGCAUUGGAUAAUUUUGGUACAAGGUUUAUCAAGUUAGUAGACGGACAAAUACACAUUUGUCUAUAUACAUGGACUUGAAAUUAUUUUGUUUGCACAAAUGAUAAUUCGAUAGUGUAUAUAGACAUGCUAAAUUUGUGUUAUUUCACGAAUUAAUUGCAAUUAAUUUUUGGUACACAAAAUGGCUUUGUCUGGAAACGACCACAUGAGCCUCUCUUUUUUGACAUUGUUGGCAAUGGCUUAUUGUUGGCCCUCUUGUUUAAACUAUUUAGGAACCGGCUAUUACAUUGAAACGGAAUAUGCAAGAAAAACAUUUACUAAAAUAUUAUAUAUGCUAAAAUUUUAAAUAAUAACUAGCCCAUGUGAAUGCACGGGUUGGCAACUACUAUACAUGUAAUCAAUGAUCGACUUAUAGGAAAGAAAAAGAACGUACAGCACAUGUCUUCUUGUUGCCGGGGCCGUCGUCGGAGAAGUCAAGGUCGUCAAGGGAGGUCACGUCAGCGAUGUUCAUACCAAGCAGCUCCUCGUCGUCGUUGUCGUCCAGGAGGAUGACCUCCGAGGAGGAGACGUGAAUAGGCGCCAUGUGACACAGGUGGGUGGUUGUGUUGUGGAGCUGAAGGUGUUGGAUCGAUCAUCGUGUAUAUAUAUAGACAGAUAAAAUUUGCCUCCAAAAGUUGUGGUGG
rnacentral:lncRNA from 1 species